CUCUACCUCUGUGCUCUUCUGCUCCACGCUGUCUCCAUUGGGGUUUAAAAUAAAAUGUAAAAGUACAAGACGUGGCAGCAACACAUUAAGGAAAUGUAUUAAUCAUUAACGUCUUCACCUAUACAACCAACACGGCAACAAAAGUGGCCAAAGUUAAUGCAAUAGUUAAUACUAGCUUAAUAGUCGUCAGCGUCACUAACUCUAAUAGUACUAGCAUGUAAGUCUCGUUUUACAAAAGCUGACUGGCUAGUUACUAGGAUUCAACCACGCUACCUGAGGAUCAGCUUUUGUCAGUGGCUUUGAAAGUGUAUCAAAGACGGAGAGGUUUGUCUGCUUCCUGAGGGAAAACCUUUGCUUGUAGAAAACGUUGGACAUACAUGAAAACCACCAUUUCCUGCUCAUAUUUCAACACUACUGUACUGAACCGUUUAUAUCUACGGAUGUCACAGAUCCUAUUCCACUGUGUCUGCCAUAUUCAUACUGGACCCAGCAUGGACAAACUAAACACAGGCUCUAGGUAUGCUGUGGCACACUUGGAAUGGGAGGGAGAGCACAGGGCCUCACAAUCCCCAACUACGCCGCUAGAUGCCACUAGAUUCAACAUAAUAACAAAAAUAGAGCUUCAAAUGAGCUAUACCAAUAAGCAUGUGUGUAGCAUUUAUUAUAGAUCAACCACAAUGUUUAGCAGCACAAUUUUUAGACAUCUUUUUUGAUGUGAUUUCAUCCAUAAAUUACUCCAUAGUUCACGAGUAACAAGAUCAGAAAGCUUUUAACUACUGUGCACUAUCUGCUCUCUUGCUAUCAGAAACUUACUUACUGUUGAAGCAUCCAAAGUACAUCUGAAUAAACUGAUGUUUUCUGAUUCUAACUAUUGUACUUCAUACUGGCCUAAUCAAGCAAGAUAACCUGAACAUUAAUCAGGUCACUUUACAGACAUGCCUUGAAAGUUUUGAGUAGGAAAUCACAAUAGUCUCAUCAUUGUGAUGUAUUGAAUAUAAAUAACAAGUUUAACUGAGAGCUUAGUUUUGUAUUCAGAAAUGUGUUAAAUAAAAAUUAAAAAUAUUAGCUAACAGCUAACAGCUAAUGCUGCACCUUGAUCACUGGAAAGCUUUGUACAACUUUGCUCAGAGGAAAAGAUUAAGGCUAAAGAAUCACACCCACC